rnacentral:rRNA from 1 species
GAUGAACGCUGGCGGCGUGCCUAAUACAUGCCAGUCGAGCGAACAGACGAGGAGCUUGCUCCUCUGACGUUAGCGGCGGACGGGUGAGUAACACGUGGAUAACCUACCUAUAAUACUGGGAUAACUUCGGGAAACCGGAGCUAAUACCGGAUAAUAUAUUGAACCGCAUGGUUCAAUAGUGAAAGACGGUUUUGCUGUCACUUAUAGAUGGAUCCGCGCCGCCUUGGCUAGUUGGUAAGGUAACGGCUUACCAAGGCAACGAUGCGUAGCCGACCUGAGAGGGUGAUCGCCCACCUUGGAACUGAGACACGCUCAAGAGUCCUACGGGAGGCAGCAGUAGGGAAUCUGCCGCAAUGGGCGAAAGCUUGACGGAGCAACCCCGCGUGAGUGAUGAAGGUCUUGGGAUCGUAAAACUCUGUUAUUAGGGAAGAACAAAUGUGUAAGUAACUAUGCACGUCUUGACGGUACCUAAUCAGAAAGCCACGGCUAACUACGUG